GACGAACCGUGCGAACGUUGUUCGGAAUCACUGGGCUUAAAGGGCGCGUAGGCGGGCUAUCAAGUCUGGGGUGAAAUCCCGCGGCUCAACCGUGGAACUGCCUUAGAUACUGACGGCCUUGAGGAAGGUAGGGGCAUGCGGAACUGUAGGUGGAGCGGUGAAAUGCGUUGAUAUCUACAGGAACUCCGGUGGCGAAAGCGGCGUGCUGGACCUUUUCUGACGCUGAGGCGCGAAAGCUAGGGGAGCAAAGCGGGG
rnacentral:rRNA from 1 species